rnacentral:lncRNA from 1 species
UAUAUAGGAUCCGGCUACUAUACUAUUAUGAGUACGAUUGCCCUCGUACUCAUAAGUUGUUUUCGAUGAUAGAGCUUCCGAAUCGUCGAUCCACACCGUUAAACAUUAUUUACAGCAUUCAAAUUUUAUAAUUUUUCGACAUCAUUUACUUUACGAUCAAGAGGUCACAAAUUUGACAAUUUUUAACGGCCGGUAUGGAAUACUUGCUAGUUUAAUGGUGUAAAAGAAUCGGAAUUUGUUGAAUUUUUGAUAGAAAAUUCUAUUCACUACAUAGAUAAAGAUCAAUAACUCCGAUCUUGAAUUGAAGAAUCCAAUCAUCCUUUUUUAGGACGUCAUUCAAUUUUGACCGUUCAUUUUAUACCCACUUGAUGGACUUUAUUAUGAUUUCGAAAAUUUAUAAAAUUUAUUUUCUAGAAGUUUCAAAUAUUCUAGAUCAUAUUUAACGGAGUGGAUCGUCGAUUCGGAAGCUUUAUCAUUGAAAACAACUUAUGAGUACGAGGGCUCCAAUAAUCAUAAUAGUAUAAUAGCCACGGCCUCUAUAUAUAUAUAUAUAUAUAUAUAUAUUAAUUUUUACUCAAGUUUUUUUUAAAAAAAAUUAAU